UGCAUGUACAUGUAACCCUUUUGGCUUUAUCAUCGUGAACUCACUUUUGAAGCGAGUCAACAGCAUCUUGAAACCCAUAGAGAAAGUGUAAACAAUAAGCUAGGUGCGGUAUUUAAAGCGGGUAUAUACAAUCUUGUCAAAUAUUUAUUAAUUAAUAUAAAAUGUGUAAAAAACUUAUUAUAUCGUAGGAUUACCGUAAGUCGACCAUGACCUAAUUUCGACCACUUUGUUUACAUUAAAAACGCGGCCAUUUGGAUGACGUCACACGCAAGCGCUCCGAGUAUUUCGAUGAAGUGACAUAACUACGCUUAUAAACAAAAACAAAUAAAAACAAAAUGAGGAAAAAACAGGCUUAUCUCAAACAAUUUUGUAAAAUGGGCACAGUGUGACAAUAGAGCCUGCAACCACUGGGUACACCUGUCAUUUUGUACAGAAAUUAAAGUCAUCAGAAGAGGUGCAACAUUUAUGUGCCCAUGCUGUGCUAAAGAAGAGUGAAAAUUGUUCUUAAGAAAAGUGAAAGAAACAUGUUCAAUUGUAUUUAUAAAAUAUUGAAAACAUA